rnacentral:tRNA from 1 species
GAGAGAGGCUCGACAGCAACAAUGACUGCUAAUCCUUGUCCCCCUGGUUUGACCCCGGGGCUCACUCA